CACACGCACACACCAUCGUACGUCGCACAGAAAGUGAACGCAAGAAACGAAAAGUCAUCGUCACUCGUCACCCACCUCUUGCCUGCGUCGAAUGGCAAAAAAAAAGUAGAUUUCUUUAAGGCCUGUGAAAGUGGUCAGUGCAGUGCUAAGAAAAAGUGUUGAAAUUCCGGACCGUUUCGUGUCUGGUAGGCGGCAUCGUUCCGUCUCAGUGUUCGCUGGUGGAAUCGCGAUUGGUGACGCGGCGGACACAGGAAGCACGCACGUGCAAGUUCUCGGGAUACGGCACAACGCCGCCGCGGGAAGAAGAGGCAACGCGCGCGAGUUUCAUUCGUCCACAGCGCAACAGGAAUCACGGAAGAGCGGGUCAAUUAUUGUUACUCCGACGGUAAUUGCCAUCAAAAGUUACAAUUGAGGAGUCUAACCUCGCAUUCUCUGCACUAUUAGCUGACGAAGAUCGAGCGCCUGGUGGUGUGACUGGUUAGAGGACAGGCUAAAACGCUCAUCAAAUUGAGCGGAAAUACCCCACUGGGGUUUUUCGGUGGAGCCAAUUCCCAUCAUCGAGGUCCGGGAGUAUCGUGAUCGAGGCAGCGGUGCGACAAGGCGACGGGCGGAUUGCCGAUACAUCGAGUGUGCUUCACUCGGCCGGCAGGGCCAAGUCGGAGGAAAUUCGUUCGGGAACCAGCAGCCCUUCGGUGGAUCACUCGGAGGGACCCCAUCCAGUUACUUGGUCGCACUGGACGCCAGAGGGGUCUCCAGCAGAGUGAUUAGGAUGCAUGCGUGGGACGGCAGUGAAAUGCGACAGGCGAACAGUCGCGGCAGCGAGAGCUCCGCCGAGGAAAUAGUGUAGGGGGACGCCCCGAACACAAAAAGGUACACAGAGUACGAAGAAGAAACCGUGAGUAAGGAAGACAAAUGUUAGUUUGUAAGGAAAUGAAGAUAUAGAGAAAGGAGAAGAGAGAGAUGCUUAGGAGCUAGG